GUAACUUUCUUCGAUGGUAUAUAUACUAAAAUCGGAAUGAUGCAGGGAAGUUUAGUAUGGCCCAUGCGCAAAUAUGACACAUAAAAUCGUGAAGUGUUCCAUAUUUUA
rnacentral:snRNA from 1 species